rnacentral:rRNA from 1 species
UACGUAGGGGGCUAGCGUUGUCCGGAAUCAUUGGGCGUAAAGAGCGCGUAGGCGGCCAGAUAAGUCCGGUGUGAAAGUCACAGGCUCAACCUGUGAAUGCCGCUGGAAACUGUCUGGCUAGAGUCCGGAAGGGGCGAGUGGAAUUCCUGGUGUAGCGGUGAAAUGCGUAGAUAUCAGGAGGAAUACCGGUGGCGAAAGCGACUCUCUGGACGGCAACUGACGCUGAGGCACGAAAGCGUGGGGAGCAAACAGG